rnacentral:tRNA from 1 species
ACUUAUAUAGUAUAUAAAGUAUAAUUGACUUCCAAUCAAUAGGACUGUAAAACAGUAUAAGUA